rnacentral:rRNA from 1 species
UGAGGAAUAUUGGUCAAUGGCGGGAGCCUGAACCAGCCAAGUCGCGUGAGGGAAGACGGUCCUAUGGAUUGUAAACCUCUUUUGUCGGGGAGCAAAGAGGCCACGUGUGGUCAAAAGCGAGAGUACCCGAAGAAAAAGCAUCGGCUAACUCCGUGCC